rnacentral:sRNA from 1 species
GUGCAGGAGUCUGAGAAGAAAGGGUGUAGAUGGAGAGGCGGUGGCCUCACCUCUGCAUGCUCCGUGGGAAGCGGCGGAGGCGCCCAGCAUCCCUCCUACGCUGCCCUUGGUGGAGGUUUACGAGAAAACACGGCCAUCUUUAUGUGUAAAUGUUGUAACCUCUUCUCACCAAAUCAGUCGGAACUCCUCUCCCACGUUUCAGAGAAGCACAUGGAAGAAGGGGUUAAUGUUGAUGAGAUUAUUAUUCCCCUUAGGCCUCUGAGUACACCUGAACCCCCCAACUCAAGCAAAACCGGAGAUGAGUUUUUGGUCAUGAAGAGGAAGAGAGGCAGGCCUAAGGGGUCCACGAAGAAGUCCAGCACAGAAGAGGAGCUGGCAGAAAACAUUGUGAGUCCGACUGAGGACAGCCCGCUGGCUCCGGAGGAAGGGAACAGCCUGCCUCCAAGCAGCUUGGAGUGUAGCAAGUGCUGUCGGAAGUUCUCCAACACGCGCCAGCUGCGGAAGCACAUCUGCAUUAUCGUGCUGAAUUUGGGUGAGGAGGAAGGAGAAGCAGGUAACGAGUCUGACCUUGAACUAGAAAAGAAGUGUAAGGAAGAUGAUCGGGAAAAAGCCUCGAAAAGACCACGGUCACAGAAAACAGAGAAAGUCCAGAAGAUCUCAGGAAAGGAGGCCGGACAGCUUUCUGGGGCGAAGAAACCCAUCAUAAGUGUGGUUUUAACUGCACACGAAGCAAUUCCAGGUGCUACCAAGAUUGUGCCAGUGGAGGCUGGGCCCCCUGAAACAGGAGCUACAAAUUCUGAGACCACUUCAGCAGACCUGGUGCCUCGGAGAGGCUACCAGGAAUACGCCAUUCAGCAGACACCUUAUGAGCAACCAAUGAAGUCAAGCAGGCUAGGUCCCACUCAGCUCAAAAUCUUCACUUGUGAAUACUGCAACAAGGUCUUCAAGUUCAAGCACUCGCUGCAGGCCCACCUGAGGAUCCACACCAAUGAAAAACCAUACAAGUGCCCCCAGUGCAGCUAUGCCAGUGCCAUCAAGGCCAACCUCAACGUGCACCUGCGCAAGCACACUGGAGAGAAGUUCGCCUGCGACUAUUGCUCGUUCACCUGCCUGAGCAAGGGCCACCUCAAGGUGCACAUCGAGCGAGUGCACAAGAAGAUCAAGCAGCACUGCCGCUUCUGCAAGAAGAAGUACUCUGACGUCAAGAACCUCAUCAAGCACAUCCGAGACGCGCAUGACCCACAGGACAAGAAGGUCAAAGAGGCCUUGGACGAGCUCUGCCUGAUGACGAGGGAGGGCAAGCGGCAGCUGCUCUAUGACUGCCACAUCUGUGAGCGCAAGUUCAAGAACGAGCUGGACCGCGACCGCCAUAUGCUGGUCCACGGAGACAAGUGGCCUUUUGCCUGUGAGCUCUGUGGCCAUGGGGCCACCAAGUACCAGGCGCUGGAACUGCAUGUCAGGAAGCACCCCUUCGUGUACGUCUGUGCCGUCUGCCGCAAGAAGUUCGUCAGCUCCAUCAGGCUGCGCUCCCACAUCAAAGAGGUGCACGGGGCUGCCCAGGAGGCCUUGGUCUUCACCAGUUCCAUCAACCAGAGCUUCUGCCUCCUGGAACCUGGUGGGGACAUCCAGCAAGAAGCUCUGGGGGACCAGCUACAGCUGGUGGAAGAGGAGUUUGCCCUCCAGGGCGUGAAUGCACUCAAGGAAGAGGCCUGUCCUGGGGACACUCAGCUGGACGAGGGCCGGAAGGAGCCGGAGGCCCCUGGGGAAAUGCCUGCCCCAGCUGUGCACCUGGCCUCCCCGCAGGCCGAAAGCACAGCCCUGCCACCCUGUGAGCUGGAAACCACUGUGGUCUCCUCCUCAGACCUGCAUUCUCAAGAGGUGGUUUCAGAUGAUUUUUUGUUGAAAAAUGAUAGCUCCUCCGCAGAGGCUCAUGCUGCUCCUGAGAAGCCCCCAGACAUGCAGCACAGAAGCUCAGUCCAGACGCAAGGUGAAGUGAUCACACUACUGCUGUCCAAGGCCCAGAGUGCUGGGUCAGAUCAGGAAAGCCAUGGCGCCCAGAGCCCCCUAGGGGAAGGGCAGAACAUGGCUGUGCUUUCAGCUGGUGACCCAGAUCCCAGCAGGUGUCUCAGGUCAAACCCAGCUGAAGCCUCAGACCUCCUCCCUCCAGUAGCUGGUGGUGGGGACACCAUCACACAUCAGCCUGACUCUUGCAAAGCUGCCCCUGAGCACCGGUCAGGCAUCACCGCUUUCAUGAAGGUCCUGAACAGUUUACAGAAGAAGCAAAUGAACACCAGCUUGUGUGAGCGGAUCCGGAAGGUUUAUGGAGACCUGGAGUGUGAAUACUGUGGCAAACUUUUUUGGUACCAAGUGCAUUUUGAUAUGCAUGUCCGCACCCACACCCGGGAACAUCUAUAUUAUUGCUCUCAGUGUCAUUAUUCUUCCAUCACCAAAAACUGCCUUAAACGCCACGUAAUUCAGAAACACAGUAACAUCUUGCUGAAGUGUCCCACCGACGGCUGUGACUACUCAACUCCAGAUAAAUAUAAGCUACAGGCACAUCUUAAAGUUCACACAGCACUGGUAAGUAGCAAGCCCAAGCGGCAGCCCCGUCUCCCCUGGGUGCUCAUUGCUUUCUCAAGUUUAUGCUUAUAUGUAGGUGUCUCCGCUGCAGGUCAGCCCUGAAAACAUAGAGAGGUCCUUCUCCUUACACAGCUGUGCACGUGGCAGAGGCUUCCCAGGUUCCUUUCACAGCAAGAGUCUCUAAUACGUUGAAAAAAGAGAUUAGAUGGAAUAAAUUGUUUCCUGUGCAAAUUUUUUUAGCAUCAGAUAAAGUCUACAGAAGAGAUAUCUAUAGAGUAGAAGUAAAGUCAGAAUUUCUCAAAUGACAUUUUAAAGAAUAAUUAAUAGCAGAGAUAACAGUAAUAGCUCCUACUGAACGUGGUUGAGAGGUUGAAUUAGAUAAUGCUGUACAGUGAUGAGAACAGUAUUUGGUUCAGAGUAAGAGCAUAGUAGAUGUUGAUGACCGCUGUUGUCACAGUGUUGUGUUAUUUAUUUUAGUCUCUGGGAGAGAAUGUCUUUGAAGCACGUUUAUUUUAAAAAAGUGAAAUGUUAAUUCAAUAUGCUGUUAAUAUUCACAAAGGUAAAUUUCUUUAGGUCUUUGGUGGAGGAUCUUGUAACACAAUGAAUGAAUGCUUAUUUUUGCAAAUUCUAAUCUAACUCAAGAGGCUGACACCUGAGAGUGAUUUGAGACUUCUUCAAGUUAUAAAGGAAGCACAUCUGGCCCCAGGUGUGGUUCUGUUUUAAUUGAAUGCCUUUUUAUGCUACAGACAGCAAAAAGUGAAGCUUCAGACAUUUGAUGUGCUACCAUGGUUUCCUGGCAUAAAAAUCAUAACAGUUUGUCACUAAGGGUAAAGUCAGGUGUUUGGGUGUGGUAAGUAGGUCAGAGCAUGGGCUUUGGGGUUGGAUACCUGGAUUCAACACUGUCUCCAACACUCUCACAGGCCCUGUGGCCUUGGGCAAGUCACUUGUCUUCCCUGAGACCUGUAUGAAAUAGCCUUCUGUAUAAGAUACAUAUUUUUAAAAAAUGUAUUUUAUAUACAUCCACACACAUAUGCAUACACACACAUAUACAGAUGUGUAUAUACAUGUAUUUAUACACGUGCUUAUACACACCUACACACAUACACUUAUAUGCAUGUGCGCACACACACACACAUAUGUACAGUACUCUAAAGAACUUGGCACAGUGCUUGUCAUGUAAUUGACUGUGUACCGGCUAUCGCAUGUCAUUUGGCACUUCUCAUUACACAUUCUCUGUCCUUCCUUUUCUUUCUGUCUCUCUCUCUUUGAGUAGCAUGUGAAGGCAUGUUGUUUGUAAUUCUUCAUGGAACCGCUGUUACAUAGAUACUGAUUCCAGUACGCUAUUAUGGCCGGGAAAAGUGAGGUGGCAGAAUUCAUAAAAGUGAUUUUGCUGGAAACUCAUAUGAAGUCGGGAGGGAGUGAAGCCAAUAUGAGAACAAGUUCUUGGGAGAAGCCUUUGAAUAUGGCAAUAAAAACUAGGAAGCAGACUGCUGGGUUUUCACCCUGGCUCCCUAUUUACCACGUGUUUAGCCUUGGGAAAAGUCAUGUGACCUAUUUGCCUCAGUUUACCCAUCCUUGGAUGAGGAUGAAGUGAGAGAAUAGAUGUAAAUGCCUUAGAACAGUGCCUGGCAUGGAGCAAGCACUGUGUGUCAUGGACUGUUAUCAUUAUUGAUUCUACUUCUCCUUUUGGAACUUGCUGCUCUGGAUUUAGAGAUUUUGAAACAUAGGCUGAAAAAAUGACAAGAAAAGGGAAGUUGUAAGUGAGCUUUACCACCUGGGACUGUAUGUAUUUUUCCAUGCCCAAAUCUUGCCUGCCUGUUGUGAGGGACCCAUCGUUCAGCCCAGUGAUUUUCUUACCCCAGCUGCUGAUGCCCGGCCUCCUGGCCACAUCCUUGGGCCUCAUGAUCAGUGGGGGAGUGUCAGGAAUGUGCACUGAGAUCUUUGGCCCCAGUCACAUCUGCCUUCAUUCUUCUUAAUAAACCAGCAUUUAAAGACGUUUCUCUUUUCAACUUUCUAUGGUUAUCUUCCUUCUGAGAGGCUUAUCUCUUCAAUGUGAACAUGUAGGAUGGCAUCUGGGGAAAUACAUGUUGGGGGAAAGGGAAGGAACAGCUGCUGUCUUUAUCCUGUGGGUCAGCUCCUUGUGCAGUCUUAAUUCUCUUAUUACUUCUAGGAGUUGGGGUAUUUCCUCCACUGGGCAGAUUAGGGGCCUGGCAUUACAGAGUCGUUUGGUAACUUGCUCAUGGUCGUACCAUUGGUAAGGGACAGAGACAGAAUUCAAGCCCACAUUCUCACCACUGCCCGGGGUUGCCCAUUUUGUUGUAGUUGGUCAUUAACAGCAACCACAUGGUUCUUGGUAGGUCUCUUGGACACUUGUCCAUCAUCUGAAGGAAUGUGGUCGAGGCAGAUGUUGUGCCGUGAGGGCAGGGAUUGUGCUGAUUCUUUCUGUGCUGUUAAGUGGCAGUUGUGCUUUAUGCUACGAUAAUAAAAUUUCUAUGCAACUAACUGCAGGAGAAGAGCAGUGUGCUGAAUAAGGGGGUGUGACUCAGUUGACCUUAUAAAAGAGAUAUGCUAGCCUGCUUCUCAUUAGCUCUCACGUUUUCUUAGAAGUUGUAAGUUUAACUUCAAUCUUUUCCCUUACUGAUAUUUGCAGUUCUUCCAGCUGAAACGCUUUUAAAGGUGAAUGUGUUGCCGCUGCUCCCAAAGCCAGCCAGCGCUGGCUGGAGGCCCCCUCCUCUACGUGUCAGGCAUUGAGAUUUUCAAGUAGGAUCUGGUCCCUGCCUUCAGGGUGCUCUUGGUUUUGUGAAGGGGGAGCUAAACAAUAAACAGUAAUGGCAAAAUGGCAACGUGAGAGGGACAGUGACGUCAAUGCAACAAUGUACUGUCCGCCCA